rnacentral:ncRNA from 1 species
AUAUAUCUGCCACCGGGCAGAGAUGCUUUAAGCAUUCAUUACUCAUCGUUAGGUCUUUGAAGAUGAGCAUAUGGACGCUUAUUUUUUU